rnacentral:rRNA from 1 species
UACAGAGGUCCCAAGCGUUGUUCGGAUUCACUGGGCGUAAAGGGUGCGUAGGCGGUCGGGUAAGUCUGAUGUGAAAUCUCACAGCUUAACUGUGAAACUGCAUUGGAUACUAUCCGGCUCGAGGAAUGGAGGGGAGACUGGAAUACUUGGUGUAGCAGUGAAAUGCGUAGAUAUCAGGAGGAACACUGGUGGCGAAGGCGGGUCUCUGGGCCGUUACUGACGCUGAGGAGCGAAAGCGUGGGGAGCGAACAGG